rnacentral:rRNA from 1 species
UAGAGUUUGAUCCUGGCUCAGAACGAACGCUGGCGGCAUGCUUUACACAUGCAAGUCGAACGAACAAGGUUAGAGCUUGCUCUUGUUUAGUGAGUGGCAAACGGGUGAGUGACACGUGGGAAUCUACCUAUCAGUACGGAAUAACAUUUGGAAACAGAUGCUAAUACCGUAUAUUCUCCAAGGAGGAAAGAUUUAUCGCUGAUGGAUGAGCCCGCGUUAGAUUAGGUAGUUGGUAGGGUAAAGGCCUACCAAGCCGACGAUCUAUAGCUGAUCUGAGAGGAUGAUCAGCCACACUGGGACUGAGACACGGACCAGACUCCUACGGGAGGCAGCAGUGGGGAAUAUUGGACAAUGGGCGAAAGCCUGAUCCAGCAAUGCCGCGUGAGUGAUGAAGGCCUUAGGGUCGUAAAGCUCUUUUAGUAGGGAAGAUAAUGACGGUACUUACAGAAAAAGCCCCGGCUAACUCCGUGCCAGCAGCCGCGGUAAUACGGAGGGGGCUAGCGUUGUUCGGAUUUACUGGGCGUAAAGAGCGCGUAGGUUGUUAUGUAAGUUAGGAGUGAAAUCCCGGAGCUCAACUUCGGAAUUGCUUUUAAAACUGUAUAGCUAGAGUAUGGUAGGGGGUAAUAGAAUUCCUGGUGUAGAGGUGAAAUUCUUAGAUAUUAGGAGGAAUACCAAUGGCGAAGGCAGUUACCUGGGCCAUUACUGACGCUGAGGCGCGAAGGCGUGGGGAGCCAAACAGGAUUAGAUACCCUGGUAGUCCACGCAGUAAACGAUGAGUGCUAGACGUUGGGUAAUUUUUAUUUUGCAGCCUCGUAGCUAACGCAUUAAGCACUCCGCCGCGGGGAGUACGAUCGCAAGAUUAAAACUCAAAGGAAUUGACGGGGGCCCGCACAAGCGGUGGAGCAUGCGGUUUAAUUCGAUGCUACGCGAAAAACCUUACCAACCCUUGACAUGUUGGUCGCGAGAAGCAGAGAUGCAUCUCUUCAGUUCGGCUGGACCAAACACAGGUGUUGCACGGCUGUCGUCAGCUCGUGUCGUGAGAUGUUGGGUUAAGUCCCGCAACGAGCGCAACCCUCACUUUUAUUUGCCAUCAGGUAAUGCUGGGGACUAUAGAGGAACUGCUAGUGUAAGCUAGAGGAAGGUGGGGACGACGUCAAGUCAUCAUGGCCCUUAUGGGUUGGGCUACACGCGUGCUACAAUGGUAACUACAGAGAGGCGCAAUAUAGUGAUAUGGAGCAAAUCUUCAAAAGUUAUCUCAGUUCGGAUUGGACUCUGAAACUCGAGUCCAUGAAGCCGGAAUCGCUAGUAAUCGCGGAUCAGAAUGCCGCGGUGAAUACGUUCCCAGGCCUUGUACACACUGCCCGUCACGCCAUGGGAGUUGGUUUUACCUGAAGCUGGUGAGCUAACCUUAGGGAGGCAGCCAACCACGGUGAGAUCAGCGACUGGGGUGAAGUCGUAACAAGGUAACCA